GGAAGUAAAGUCGUAACAAGGUUUCCGUAGGUGAACCUGCGGAAGGAUCAUUAAUGAGUUGUCAUGGGGUUCGAUGCUGGCAGCCAGUUUUUGGAUGCAUGUGCUUGCCCUAACAAUCAUCUUCUUCCAAACACCUGUGCACAUUUUUGAGGGAGUCUUGAGUUGGUUGCCGCUCUUGGGUGAUUUUCUCACAUUCCCUUAAAUCAUUAUACGCUAUUAACAAUGUUGAACGUGCUCUGUGCCGCAAGGCCAUUAAUAUAAUACAACUUUUAACAACGGAUCUCUUGGCUCUC
rnacentral:misc_RNA from 1 species